CCUACGGGUGGCAGCAGUGGGGAAUCUUCCGCAAUGGGCGCAAGCCUGACGGAGCAACGCCGCGUGAAUGAAGAAGGUCUUCGGAUCGUAAAGUUCUGUUCUUAGGGAAGAAGACUUAGGUUGUGAAUCAUUACUUAAGGUGACGGUACCUAUGGAGAAAGCUCCGGCUAACUACGUGCCAGCAGCCGCGGUAAUACGGAGGGCGCGAGCGUUGUUCGGAUUUACUGGGCGUAAAGGGGGCGUAGGCGGGAAGUUAAGUUAGAUGUGAAAGCUUCGGGCUUAACCUUGAGACUGCAUUUGAAACUGGGUGUCUUGAGGACAGGAGAGGAAGGUGGAAUUCGUAGUGUAGCGGUGAAAUGCGUAGAUAUUAGGAGGAACACCAGUGGCGAAGGCGACUUUCUAGACUGUACCUGACGCUGAGGCGCGAAAGCAUGGGGAGCGAACAGGAUUAGAUACCCGAGUAGUC
rnacentral:rRNA from 1 species